AUUGAACGCUGGCAGCAGGCCUAACACAUGCAAGUCGAACGGUAACAGGAAGCAGCUUGCUGCUUCGCUGACGAGUGGCGGACGGGUGAGUAAUGUCUGGGAAACUGCCUGAUGGAGGGGGAUAACUACUGGAAACGGUAGCUAAUACCGCAUAACGUCGCAAGACCAAAGAGGGGGACCUUAGGGCCUCUUGCCAUCGGAUGUGCCCAGAUGGGAUUAGCUAGUAGGUGGGGUAACGGCUCACCUAGGCGACGAUCCCUAGCUGGUCUGAGAGGAUGACCAGCCACACUGGAACUGAGACACGGUCCAGACUCCUACGGGAGGCAGCAGUGGGGAAUAUUGCACAAUGGGCGCAAGCCUGAUGCAGCCAUGCCGCGUGUAUGAAGAAGGCCUUCGGGUUGUAAAGUACUUUCAGCGGGGAGGAAGGGAGUAAAGUUAAUACCUUUGCUCAUUGACGUUACCCGCAGAAGAAGCACCGGCUAACUCCGUG
rnacentral:rRNA from 1 species